CCGGCGCACGGGUGAGUAACACGUAUCCAACCUGCCGUCUACUCUUGGCCAGCCUUCUGAAAGGAAGAUUAAUCCAGGAUGGGAUCAUGAGUUCACAUGUCCACAUGAUUAAAGGUAUUUUCCGGUAGACGAUGGGGAUGCGUUCCAUUAGAUAGUAGGCGGGGUAACGGCCCACCUAGUCAACGAUGGAUAGGGGUUCUGAGAGGAAGGUCCCCCACAUUGGAACUGAGACACGGUCCAA
rnacentral:rRNA from 1 species